AMUUUACAAUGCGRGAAACCGUGAUAGAGGGACUCUGAGUGCCCSUAAAAUCGGGCUGUCCACCUGUUUAAAUAACAGGUGAAGAAAGGGCCGGGCAAGACCGGUGCCAGCCGCCGCGGUAAUACCGGCGGCUCGAGUGGUGGCCACUAUUACUGGGCUUAAAGCGUUCGUAGCUGGUUUGUUAAGUCUCUGGGGAAAUCUUCCGGCUCAACCGGAAGGCGUCUCAGGGAUACUGGCAGACUAGGGACCGAGSGAGGUGAGARGUACUYCAGGGGUAGGA
rnacentral:rRNA from 1 species